AAAAAGCAGCGCGCCCACGGGCCGCGCCCAACUGCGUCCUCCCGCGCAAUGGGGGCCUAAAAAUCACAAGUCCCGCGUGUACCCAUCUAGAUAAGAAAACCCUAACUCACAAGCCUCCGCCGCCACCAGCUCGACCUCGCUCCUCCAAAUCCUCCACACCGCCGACCUCAGCAUCUCGCAUCUAGCAAUCUGUCACGUGAUAUGGAGUGAGCGGUGGUGCCAGGUGGGCCCAUCACUGGCGCUGCCGUGAGGGGACUCCUCUACAUCGUGGUUGCUGGCCGGUGCCGGUGCCGUGGUGCACGUGGCUGAUUGGGACACUGGAUCUGAGGAGCCCGUCAUCUGUUUGAGUGGCACAUUCAAGAUCUUGCUGAUAAUUUGACUAUUUGAUGAACACACCCUCUCCCACGAACUGCAGACCUUUCUGAUUAGCUGGACACUGGAUCUAAGGAGCCCGUCAUCUGUUUGAGUGGCACAUUGGGGAUCUUGCUGAUAAUUUGACUAUUUGUAGAACAUACUGGUUCCCUCUCCCACGAAUUGCAGACCUCUCCAAUUAAAUAGCAAAAAUGCAUGGCCUUCGGCACAGAAAGCUUACCAGCAACAAGGAUGCAAUAAGGGGUGGAAGCAAUCAAACUAGGAGCACUGAAAGGAGCAUUGCUGCUGCUGGUAAGUCCAAAAGAGCUAACACUAAAAGGGUUGGAGCUCAUACUGGGAGCUCGGAAAGGAGCAGUUCAGAUGGUUCUAACUCCAGAAUGGUUGGAGUUGAUGAUGGUCACACUAGAAGGAUCAAUGCUGAUGGUGUGGACUCCACAAUGGUUGGAGGCGCCAACGGUGAACACUCUGAGAGGAGCAGUGCUAAUGGUAUGAAACAUGAAAGGGUUGCUAACGGUGUCAACUCUCAACUGAAUGGCACUAGUGAUGGGGCUAACUGUGAAUUAAAUGGUACUUGUGAUGGUCUCAACUCUCCGUUGAAUGGUGCUAGUGAUGGUAGUAACUCCCAUGGAAAUAUUGGUUCCAAACGAGUUCGCUUGGAUGCUCCAAAAAGAGGGAGGGCAAAGAUGUCGUGGACAGAACUGAAAAUGGCUCCGCGUAGUGGGCGGGUGGAGCUUGCACCUAGAGGCCAUCGGUAAGUACAUAUGAGCUCAUAUUUGUACAUUACCACAUUCUUGUAAUUCUGCUGAUUCAAAAUAUGAGGAAUGUGAUGAUACACGAGCACGCACAAUUGAACUUACAGAAGAACAGUACCUAACUUGUCGGCUGGAAUGGUGCAAUAAGGCAACUUGGGCCUGGUUCUCCAAAUAUUGGACCACUGACGAGUACAAGAGAAAGAGACAGAGGGCCCAAGAGUCGUGCAUGAGUUCUGAAGAUAAUGCUCAAAACAGAGGAGGUUCAAGGAAUUUUACAGAGACACAACAACUUCUAGAACAUACUUUUGGUCCUGAGAAGAGUGGCACAUUAAACACAUAUGCUGUAAUGAAAUCUAGAUUCAAAACUGUAGACAGCACUGGAAAGGCUGGUCCCAUUCGCAGCCAAAAAGCACAAAGCCGCUUGGAUGACUACAGAGAGCUAGUUCCAGAUGAGAAUUCACAUGAACUUGAUGGGAAGGCGCUGCACAUUGUAGGAAACGGCAUGAAGCAUGGGCGUGUUCCAAUAGGCGAUGGUGCUGUGGACAAGGCAGCCGUUCUAAUACAUAGUAAAUCUGUAUCUUUUAAACCAAUCAAUCCUGCUGAUUAUGAAAAGGUGCUCAAAGAAAAUGAGCAGCUGAAAUAGACUAAUGGGAUACUCAUUGAGCAAAUUAAUGUUAAUCAUGCACUGAUCAUGAAAAUGUAUUCUGAUUUUGGAAAAGAACCACCUCCAGAGCUGUUGGGGCGUCUAGGAAGUCUUGAUGCACGUCGUCAACAGAAUGCCAAUAUGAGUUGCAGCAGUGAAAAGGUGGCUUCUUGUUGAUUAGAAAUGUCAGCCUUAGUUUUAAGUUCAUGGCUGUUGGAUCUCCGCAUGGAUGCUCCCACUCUGUUCAUGAUAGGAGCAACAAUGAGAACACGGAUGAAAGCGAUGAUGACGACUAUAGUGAAAGCGAUGACAACGAUGAUGGUUCCUUUGAAGGAAAUGGCGAUGAUGAUCCUGAAUUAGAAGGCGAGGAUGAUGACGGCAAUGAAGCCGUUGGAGGCGAUCGUUGAUAACUAUUGCAGUGACUGAUCUACAAGCAGCAAAUGGAAUUGGUAUAAGACCCACGUACUAAUGCCGACUAAGUACUAGUUGCAUGCAUGAUGUGCUGUUAACUUCUUUUGCUCUAUUUUGGUAGAAGCUAACAUAUGAUGUGUAGCUGAGCUUUUGCUGACUAUUUUGUGAGUGUGUGUGAUGAUGACAUGUAGGCAUGAUACAAUAUUGCCAUCCAUAUUAUAUGUAGGUAUGAUGAUGUGGUGAUGACAUGUUUGCUCUAUGCAAACUGGACUUGUACUGAGCAAAUGGUUGUUGGAUAUAUGAUCCGUACAUUAUUGAUGCAAUCAUAUAUCCAAUUUGGCUCAAUUGAAUUGUGACUUUGUUUGUAUU